GACGAACGCUGGCGGCGUGCUUAACACAUGCAAGUCGAACGGAAAGGCCUCUUUCGGGGGGUACUCGAGUGGCGAACGGGUGAGUAACACGUGAGUAACCUGCCCUUGACUUUGGGAUAACUUCAGGAAACUGGGGCUAAUACCGGAUAGGAGCUCCUGCUGCAUGGAGGGGGUUGGAAAGUUUCGGCGGUUGGGGAUGGACUCGCGGCUUAUCAGCUUGUUGGUGGGGUAGUGGCUUACCAAGGCUUUGACGGGUAGCCGGCCUGAGAGGGUGACCGGCCACAUUGGGACUGAGAUACGGCCCAGACUCCUACGGGAGGCAGCAGGGGGGAAUAUUGCACAAUGGGUGGAAGCCUGAUGCAGCAACGCCGUGUGCGGGAUGACGGCCUUCGGGUUGUAAACCGCUUUCGCUCAUGACGAAGCUUUGUGUGACGGUAGUGGGUAAAGAAGCACCGGCUAACUACGUG
rnacentral:rRNA from 1 species